GGGCAUGGUGGUGCGUGCCUGUAGUCCCAGUUACUCUGGAGGCUGAGGUGGGAGGAUCGCUUGAGCCCAGGAGUUCUGGCAUGUAGUGUGCUAUGUUGAUAGGGUGUCUGCACUAAGUUCAGCAUCAAUAUGGUGACCUCCCAGGAGCUGGGGACCACCAGGUUGCCUAAGGAAGGGUGAACCGGCCCAGGUUGGAAACGGAGCAGGUAAAAACUAAAACUCCCAUGCUGAUCAGUAGUGGCAUCACGCCUGUGAAUAGCCACUGCACUGCAGCCUGGGCAACAUAGUGAGACCCUGUCUCU
rnacentral:SRP_RNA from 1 species